UGAGAAAACAUUUACCAGGUAAAUGAGCAUUACCAUAGCAAAGACCAAAGAAGCUACCAGUACAUCAAGCAGAAACAUAGCAUCCUUUCAAUCUGUAACCGGGACGCCCAAUCUUGUAGGGUGGAGUCGCAGUAACUACAGUUUCAACAAAUGUCCUAAUGAUGGCACUUAAUUUUCAAAAGAUUUCCUCGAUGAGGCCAUUAUUCGACCCCUAAACACACGGAUCAUCCAGACAACAAUAACUUGGGGGACAGUCGUUCUGUUGAUAACAAUUCCCUGAUUUUAAUGAAACGCCACUGAGCUAAAUCUCCUUCUUGUUAUGUACUUUGGCACUAAAUAGGGAGAUUCCUCUUUAAUGCCAAUCGUGUUAUUGAGGUGAUUUUAGAUAGGCUAAUUCCAGAGCGGUUAAUUUUUCCCUAUAUAUUUGUAGAGAGUAACUUUUGUAUCACUUUGUUCAAACACUCAGGUGAACGCUCCACCUGCGUAUUUCUGGUGGUUGAUUUUUAUGAAGUCUCCAAAUCACGUACAGAUGGUUUGGGGCCCAGAUCGAGCCAAAUUUGUUGCCAACACCUUGCUGACCUCAGAUUUACAUAUCCUUUAUUGCAUCAGUAUUUAGUAGUAAUGAGUGGCUAGUCAAAGUGAGAUUUUUGAGUGCAACACAAGACAACAGAUUGGCCAAUAAAUGUCUCAAUAUUUAACGUGUCAAUGGCACUCGAGCAGACCACUAUCUCGAGAUUUUUAACUCCCUCACUGUCUGGUGACUUUCUCUUCAUCCAUUGAAAGUUAGAGAUUUUUAGGCAACAUGUUCAAGAGUAGUCAACUGUAACUAUUUUUUGACUGAAAAUCAACAAUGGUGGAACUGAGCUCCAGCUUGGGACCUCACACUGUCUUAGUUUAUGUUUUUUUGGUCAUGCUUUCUAAACAUUUCAAGGGUCCUCUCUCUUUUGCUAUUGACACAUCAAAAGACUCCCAUCAUGUAAAUGUAAUAUCCAUAAAUUAUGGUGAUGAAUUCAUUGAAAGGUAAUUCCGUAACAAAAAUCAACAACUGAAAACUAAUUAUCUGCCAUAUUAAUGUGGAGAAUUUCUAUAUCAAGUCCACUGAAUUCCUAAAAGAACUUCAACAUAAUUCCAAUUAAUAUUUUCACCAGAAAGUUUAAACUAAACAGUCAUAACACAGUGUAAUGAUUUUUGUCUUUUAUGUUACAGAUGGCACAACACUGGAAAGGAAACCAGAUUCCGAUAAAUGGAAAAUGGACAAACAUAAAAAUCCAUAACCUGUGUUGGACAGUGGAAGUGGAAAUUAACGUGUGUUAAGAGCUUGCCUCAUAGUGUAGCCUCGAUCUACACCUGCAUCCGUCACAGAAAAGUACACUGUUGAUCAAUAAAUGAAAGGCAGCCCCACAUCAGAAGAAAUGAAAUGCGCGGCCACACAUCAAAGGAUGGAAAAAAAAGGAAUGCAUACCACAACACCAACCAGUUUCUUGGUGCUCCAUCAUUGAGAAAACAGCAAUGUUUUUAAGAUCUCAAGAUUUUCAGGUUCAAUGGGAUCAGUAUCCUCCCUAAGCAUGAAACUGCCAAUGUUAAUUUGAUUAGAAGACAGAUGUUAUGCAACUGCAAUGCAAUGAAACUAUUCAAACAUUCUGAUGAAUCAGCUCAAAAAGACCCCCAAAAAUCAAUAAUGACAACCACAGGAGAUUAUCACCUGCCUGAUGGAUAGUUCCUUAUACAGUAAUUUGUGAAGAGGUUGUAAAUUCAAUUUUUGUUUUUUUGUGUGUGUUUUACUGAAAUCAAGUCGAGAGAACUUGCAGUCAGAUAGAGUUUACAUCUUCAGAUAGAGGAAGUGAAUACUUUGAUAUGUUGAUAUGUGAAGUGGAGUACUUUCACAGUUUAUAUUGUAACAAACUUUUAUUGAACAAUAAAUAUUUAUAUUCUGCAUUCCAUCACUUUGAUAGGCAUAUGUCAGAAUUCUAUUCAUCAAGGACUAUAUAUAUAGGGUUGAAACUUUGAUUCACCAAUGAAAUUAUAUGAUAUUUUAAUUAUAUUAUUGUAUUGAUUAUUUUAAGGUUUUUCAUGACUUUUGUCUUCCCCAAUGUAAUGUUAUCUUCCUCCAUGUUCCUAGCAUAUGUAAUUUACAGAUUAUAUUUUUCAGAAAUCUACAAGGAAGUUUAUCUUAAUGCCAUCAUGAAUACAUGUAUGUACCAUGUAAGAGAAAGAGGUUUUGUUAGAUUAUUGUUUUUUUUAAAUUAAAAACAGAUUUUGUUUUUAGGCUUUCCUAUGAAUGCUUUGUGUGUGUUAUUGUUCUGCUUUGUGUUUUUCAUCAAUUGACAUACUUAUUUUGUAACUUUGAAAACAAAGUACAUUAUACAUCCACUUUGGUAUCUAUUUGAUUUUUAAGAUGUGAAGCCAAUGAAAAUGCAAUUUUUUUCAUAAUAAUGGCUUCUUUGCAUUAAUGUAGAACAAUAAAUGAUAUGUUUAAUUUGUUUGCAUAUAGGUAUAUAUCAACUUAUUGUAACACUUGCCAUUCAAUUACAUUGCAUUUUCAUUAUUUAUCAAAACAGAUCCCAAGAUUGAAUUUCACUGUAAGACAUGAACAAACACCGAUAUUGUGAAUAAAUAUGUUUUGCUUUUA